rnacentral:rRNA from 1 species
GACGAACGCUGGCGGCGUGCUUAACACAUGCAAGUCGAACGGAGUGGCGAACGGGUGAGUAACACGUGGGUGACCUGCCCUGCACUUCGGGAUAAGCCUGGGCAACUGGGUCUAAUACCGGAUAGUUCGGGAUGGGCCCGCGGCCUAUCAGCUUGGUGGUGGGGUAAUGGCCUACCAAGGCGGCGACGGGUAGCCGGCCUGAGCGGGUGGACGGCCAAAAUGGGACUGAGACACGGCCCAGACUCGAACGGGAGGCAGUAGUGGGGAAUAUUGCACAAUGGGCGGAAGCCUGAGGUAGCGACGUCGCGUGGGGGAUGACGGCUUUCGGGUUGUAAACUCCUUUCACCAUAGACGCGGUAGAUGGAGAAGAAGCACCGGCUAACUACGUGCCAGCAGCCGCGGUAAUAC